CAAUAGCGUAUAUUAACGUUGUUGCAGUUAAAAAGCUCGUAGUUGGAUUUCUGGAGGGAGCGUCGGCCCGUAUUUACGAGUGCGUGACGUCUCUGUCCAUCCUUGCGGGAAGGCACGGCAUUGAUUUGUUGUGUCGGAUCGCAUCAUUUACUGUGAAAAAAUUAGAGUGUUCAAAGCAGGCUUUCGCUUGAAUACAUUAGCAUGGAAUAAUAAGAUAGGACUUUGGUGCUAUUUUGUUGGUUGAGCCUAAAGUAAUGAUUAAUAGGGAUAGUUGGGGGCACCUGUAUUGCGUUGUCAGAGGUGAAAUUCUUGGAUUUACGCAAGACAAACAGCAGCGAAAGCGUCUGCCAAGGAUGUUUUCAUUAA
rnacentral:rRNA from 1 species